CCUACGGGAGGCAGCAGUAGGGAAUCUUCCACAAUGGGCGAAAGCCUGAUGGAGCAACGCCGCGUGGGUGAAGAAGGUCUUCGGAUCGUAAAACCCUGUUGUUAGAGAAGAAAGUGCGUGAGAGUAACUGUUCACGUUUCGACGGUAUCUAACCAGAAAGCCACGGCUAACUACGUGCCAGCAGCCGCGGUAAUACGUAGGUGGCAAGCGUUAUCCGGAUUUUUUGGGCGUAAAGGGAACGCAGGCGGUCUUGUAAGUCUGAUGUGAAAGCCUUCGGCUUAACCGGAGUAGUGCAUUGGAAACUGGGAGACUUGAGUGCAGAAGAGGGGAGUGGAACUCCAGGUGUAGCGGUGAAAUGCGUAGAUAGAUGGAAGAACACCAGUGGCGAAAGCGGCUCUCUGGUCUGUAACUGACGCUGAGGUUCGAAAGCGUGGGUAGCAAACAGGAUUAGAUACCCCUGUAGUC
rnacentral:rRNA from 1 species